UGGUAUCAAUCCACUACGGACUAUGGUGUUCAUUUGUGAUUUCUCUGUCUUCUCGGAUUAGGCCCCGAGGAAAAGGAAACAAUCAGUGGAGGUUAUGAAGCUCUCCUUUUCUUUUCUUCUUUUAAAGACAGAGUGGUGAACAAGGCGUGGGUCUUGCUCUUAUUAUGAUUCUCGGCAUAUUCCCAACCACUGGAUACAAUCUCUCAGCCAUCCACGACUCCCUUCCUUUCAG
rnacentral:lncRNA from 1 species